rnacentral:rRNA from 1 species
UACGUAGGGGGCGAGCGUUGUCCGGAAUUACUGGGCGUAAAGGGUGCGUAGGCGGCCUGAUAAGUCAGAUGUGAAAUACCAGGGCUCAACCCUGGGGGUGCAUUUGAAACUGUCGGGCUUGAGUGCAGGAGAGGAAAGCGGAAUUCCUGGUGUAGCGGUGAAAUGCGUAGAUAUCAGGAGGAACACCAGUGGCGAAGGCGGCUUUCUGGACUGUAACUGACGCUGAGGCACGAAAGCGUGGGGAGCGAAC